UACAGAGGGGGCAAGCGUUGCUCGGAAUUACUGGGCGUAAAGGGCGCGUAGGCGGCCUUCUAAGUCGAACGUGAAAUCCCCGGGCUCAACCCGGGAACUGCGUCCGAUACUGGAAGGCUUGAAUCCGGGAGAGGGAUGUGGAAUUCCAGGUGUAGCGGUGAAAUGCGUAGAUAUCUGGAGGAACACCGGUGGCGAAGGCGACAUCCUGGACCGGUAUUGACGCUGAGGCGCGAAAGCCAGGGGGGCAAACGGG
rnacentral:rRNA from 1 species